AGUUUCACUCCCUACCCUUUAUGUGAAACCCUACCUAUUGUUGCUUCGGCGGACUCGCCCCAGCCGGACGCGGACUGGACCAGCGGCCGCCGGGGACCCUCAAACUCUUGUAUUAUCAGCAUCUUCUGAAUACGCCGCAAGGCAAAACAAAUAAAUCAAAACUUUCAACAACGGAUCUCUUGGCUCUGGCAUCGAUGAAGAACGCAGCGAAAUGCGAUAAGUAAUGUGAAUUGCAGAAUCCAGUGAAUCAUCGAAUCUUUGAACGCACAUUGCGCCCGCCAGCAUUCUGGCGGGCAUGCCUGUUCGAGCGUCAUUUCAACCCUCGACCUCCCUUUGGGGAAGUCGGCGUUGAGGACCGGCAGCACACCGCCGGCCCUGAAAUGGAGUGGCGGCCCGUCCGCGGCGACCUCUGCGUAGUAAUCCAACUCGCACCGGAACCCCGACGCGGCCACGUCGUAAAACACCCAACUUCUGAACGUUGACCUCGAAUCAGGUAGGACUACCCGCUGAACUUAAGCAUAUCAAUAAGCC
rnacentral:rRNA from 1 species